GUCGCUCGUUAUCGAAGAAACACGUUGUUUACGUUGAAUGAGGAGGAAUAAAACCGAUCGAACAUACGACAUACGGUAGGGGUCUUUACGAUGAAAAAUACUCGGAUCAAAAGUAAAGGACCAGAACGGAGAAGCGGAAAAUGGAAUCGAGCCAGAGAGCCGAAGAAACAAGCUUGGAAUCGUGCGCGCACGCGAUCGAUGGGAGCGGCUGUCGCCACUUAACCGGAUGCUAGUCGCAGCUCGAGAAUACUAAUUGUUUCUUCUCGAUGUAUGUACAUACUCUCGAUGUAUGUAUUUAGAAAAAGACAAAUAGACGGGACAACACGAAACCCAUAGGCCGUAAUCGCAACGACGACUAUUUC
rnacentral:misc_RNA from 1 species